UAAAUGGAUAAAAUCUUGGUCUUAAUGUAUACGAGUUUUUGAACGUAAAGGAGCAAUAAUUAAUUUAUUGUUCUAUCAAGAGGGUUAAUAUUGCUCCUUUACUUUUUAGUAGUUUCAUACAUCAAUUUUGUAUUUACUUCAACAUUCUUUACCAUUGUUUUAAGAUAAGAAAAAAAUAUUGGAGUUUCAUACUUUUUGUUUCUUUUUUACUAAUUUAUUUUAUACGUUUUUCUCAGCAAUCUUUCUUUAUCUUUUGAAAUGCAAAAUAAAAAAAAUGAGAAAUGAAUGUUUUAAUUCUAGUCUAUUGUAUCUUAGAAGACGAGUAAAAACUUCAAA
rnacentral:misc_RNA from 1 species